UACGUAGGUGGCAAGCGUUGUCCGGAAUUAUUGGGCGUAAAGCGCGCGCAGGCGGUCCCUUAAGUCUGAUGUGAAAGUCCACGGCUCAACCGUGGAGGGUCAUUGGAAACUGGGGGACUUGAGUACAGAAGAGGAAAGCGGAAUUCCACGUGUAGCGGUGAAAUGCGUAGAGAUGUGGAGGAACACCAGUGGCGAAGGCGGCUUCUGGUCUG
rnacentral:rRNA from 1 species